GUUGAACGCUGGCGGCAGGCCUAACACAUGCAAGUCGAGCGGAUGAAGGGAGCUUGCUCCUGGAUUCAGCGGCGGACGGGUGAGUAAUGCCUAGGAAUCUGCCUGGUAGUGGGGGAUAACGUCCGGAAACGGGCGCUAAUACCGCAUACGUCCUGAGGGAGAAAGUGGGGGAUCUUCGGACCUGACGCUAUCAGAUGAGCCUAGGUCGGAUUAGCUAGUUGGUGGGGUAAAGGCCUACCAAGGCGACGAUCCGUAACUGGUCUGAGAGGAUGAUCAGUCACACUGGAACUGAGACACGGUCCAGACUCCUACGGGAGGCAGCAGUGGGGAAUAUUGGACAAUGGGCGAAAGCCUGAUCCAGCCAUGCCGCGUGUGUGAAGAAGGUCUUCGGAUUGUAAAGCACUUUAAGUUGGGAGGAAGGGCAGUAAGUUAAUACCUUGCUGUUUUGACGUUACCAACAGAAUAAGCACCGGCUAACUUCGUG
rnacentral:rRNA from 1 species